UGCGAUACUUGGUGUGAAUUGCAGAAUCCCGUGAACCAUCGAGUCUUUGAACGCAAGUUGCGCCCAAAGCCAUUAGGCUGAGGGCACGCCUGCCUGGGUGUCGCCCAUCGUUGCCCCAGUUCCUUGGCCUCACGCUAGGCACCGAGCUGGGCGAAUGCUGGCUUCCCGUGAGCAAAGCCUCACGGUUGGUUGAAAAUUGAGUCCGUGGUGGGUGGCACCGUGGCGGAUGGUGGUUGAG
rnacentral:rRNA from 1 species